UGCCAUCGAUCACCAUGCCAAAACAACGGCACUUGCCAGUCGGGAUUUACAAAAAAACGAUAUCGAUGUUUGUGUGCGUCUGGAUUUACUGGCCACGAUUGUGAAGAGGACAGCGACGAGUGUGUUACAAGAACCCACAGCUGCGGCAAGAACGCCAACUGCACAAACACCAAGGGAUCUUACAGCUGCUCUUGUAAUCCUGGAUUCGGCUGGGAUAUAGACAAGUGCACAGACAUCGACGAGUGUGAU